rnacentral:rRNA from 1 species
UACAGAGGUCUCAAGCGUUGUUCGGAUUCAUUGGGCGUAAAGGGUGCGUAGGCGGGUCUUUAAGUCAGAGGUGAAAAUCCUGGAGCUCACUCCAGAACUGCCUUGAUACUGAGGAUCUUGAGUACGGGAGAGGUGAGUGGAACUGCGAGUGUAGAGGUGAAAUUCGUAGAUAUCGGAGGAACACCAGUGGCGAAGGCGACUACCUGGCCUGUUCUUGACGCUGAGGCGCGAAAGCUAGGGGAGCAAACGGG